CCACAGUUAGCUACUCCCCGUCCUGGCCAAAGCAGAGUCAGAGAUUGGGCCCAGGUCAUCACUGUGUUGGGGGAAAGUCAGGCAGUCUGCCCAGACCCCGUCAGCGAGAGCACGCUCCCUUUGUUGGUUCUUGUCCGGGGAAAGCUAUCGAUUCCUUUGCUUCCAAAGCCAGGAGGCUGGUUGUGACUGGAUUAUGGUCACUAGGACAACAGUGCUUUGACAGUGUUGACUACCCACCAAGCAGGCCACGGUGCUGAGCACACGGGUCCAUGUACCAGGGACAACAGAAGGCAUGGAAGGCUCUAGUCACAAGGAGUUAAAGUGGAUGAGGGAGAUGACAUACGAAACAGGCAUGUACAACAGGAUCUAUGUGAACAAAUGUAAGAAUUACGCGGGGACAGAGAGCGAGGGGACAGCCAUUCCUCAGCAGCCGUCAUGGACACGUCGACAAACACAACGACGUGGGCGCCUCAGUUAACCUCGGAGAUGGCUUCGGAUUCCUCGGGUGUCGGAAACCCCUGUAAUCUGAAGUGAUAACUAACAUUUCUGCUCAGACAUUGUUUCCAAUAGUUUAUUCUGGAAGAGAUCCUGGCUCCUCUGGGAAUCACUUUGGGGCACAUUCCCUCCAGGGACGAGCUACAACCAUCCGGCAUUGGUUGCCUGGGUGGUGGAACAGCAGCUGACAGGGGAGGACCAAGAAUACAGGAGGCUCAAAAUACAGCGAAAUGGCUGACCCCUCCGAACCUCCACGCCUAAAUCAAGCAAGGCAUGCACCUGACUUCACACCUGAGCAAUGGCUUUUGCUCACUUGUCUGUUUUUGUUGUGUGGAAGGAAAUGGGUGCCAAGAAAGGUGAGUAAUAAAAGAAAACUCCUGUUUUACCCUGAUUAGCUGAGAACAGACACAGAGAAGAUUUGCUUCUUAUGGGCGUUAACGCUGUAGAGAGCAGAUCUAGGGGCAUGGCUGACAUUAUGGCCUGGACAGUUCUUUGUUAGGGGAACUGUGAGAAUUGUAGGAUGUUUAGUAGCAUCCUUGGCCUCACCUGACCAGCCCCCACCUCAGUCAUGACAAUAGAACAUGUCUCCUGACAAUAGAACAUGUCUCCUGACACAAUCAUGACAAUAGAACAUGUCUCCUGACACAAUCAAAUGUCCCCCGGAGGCAAAAUCACUUGCAGCUGAGAGUCACUGCUACAGACAAAAGGGUUUGGAGUCCAGGCAGCACCAAGCAUAGCCCCUGCCAUUUGCUUCAGAAAGUGCUUGACUUCCUGACUUUCAAAAUGAAAACAGAAUCAUGGGAGGGUCACAGGAGGUCAUGGGUUCAAUGUGGCUCAAAUUAGAAUGACAUGUAGUGCCUUCCCAAGAAAAAAACGUUUUGAGGAUUUCCAGUGCUGACAUAAAUUACUUUUAUAAGAUGGUUAAUUGAAUACGUACAAACAUGAAACUGGGCACACAGCCCACAAGCUUGCAUGAUUUUGACAAACCAAUUAUAAAACUGGUAAAACUCAAGAACCUUCAUUGAAUGAGACAGAUAGUGGGAUUUGGUGGAGUAAAUCACCCUUGCUUUGUCACUUGGGUGCCUAGUCACUUCUUUGAGCUGUGACUCAAGUCACCCAUGACACUGUCUCUUCAAACUCCUGUGAAAACUCUGGUUGGGAACCUUCCGUGAGGUUAUUUGGCAAACAUAGACUUGACUCAUUAAGGUCACCUGUGUUUUCUUCUCACUGGCGUGAGACAAGAGAAAUAGCACAUGUGGCCCCAAUAUGAUCAUAAACACACAGAGCGAUGAUGGCAUUGUGAAUUCUAAGGGGGACAUAU